GCAUAUCAAUAAGCGGAGGAAAAGAAACCAACCGGGAUUGCCUCAGUAACGGCGAGUGAAGCGGCAAGAGCUCAAAUUUGAAAGCUGGCCCCUCCGGGGUCCGCGUUGUAAUUUGGAGAGGAUGCUUCGGGUGCAGCCCCCGUCUAAGUGCCCUGGAACGGGCCGUCGGAGAGGGUGAGAAUCCCGUCUGGGACGGGGUGUCUGCGUCCGUGUGAAGCUCCUUCGACGAGUCGAGUUGUUUGGGAAUGCAGCUCUAAAUGGGUGGUAAAUUUCAUCUAAAGCUAAAUACUGGCCGGAGACCGAUAGCGCACAAGUAGAGUGAUCGAAAGAUGAAAAGCACUUUGAAAAGAGAGUUAAACAGCACGUGAAAUUGUUGAAAGGGAAGCGCUUGCGACCAGACUCGCCGGCGGGGUUCAGCCGGGCUUCGGCCCGGUGUACUUCCCCGUCGGCGGGCCAGCGUCGGUUUGGGCGGCCGGUCAAAGGCCCCUGGAAGGUAGCGCCCCCCGGGGCGUCUUAUAGCCAGGGGUGCAAUGCGGCCUGCCCGGACCGAGGAACGCGCUUCGGCACGGACGCUGGCGUAAUGGUCGUAAGCGACCCGUCUUGAAACACGGACCAAGGAGUCUAACAUCUACGCGAGUGUUCGGGUGUCAAACCCGUACGCGCAGUGAAAGCGAACGGAGGUGGGAACCCCCCGGGGUGCACCAUCGACCGAUCCUGAUGUCUUCGGAUGGAUUUGAGUAGGAGCGUAGCUGUUGGGACCCGAAAGAUGGUGAACUAUGCCUGAAUAGGGCGAAGCCAAGAAAACUCUGGUGGAGGCUCGCAGCGGUUCUGACGUGCAAAUCGAUCGUCAAAUUUGGGUAUAGGGCGAAAGA
rnacentral:rRNA from 1 species